GACGAACGCUGGCGGCGUGCUUAACACAUGCAAGUCGAACGGAAAGGCCCUGCUUUUGUGGGGUUCUCGAGUGGCGAACGGGUGAGUAACACGUGAGUAACCUGCCCUUGACUUUGGGAUAACUUCAGGAAACUGGGGCUAAUACCGGAUAUGAGCUCCUGCUGCAUGGUGUGGGUUGGAAAGUUUCGGCGGUUGUGGAUGGACUCGCGGGUUAUCCGCUUGUUGGUGGGGUAGUGGCUUACCAAGGCUUUGACGGGUAGCCGGCCUGAGAGGGUUACCGGGCACAUGGGGACUGAGAGACGGCGCAGAAGCGUACGGGAGGCAGUAGGGGGGAAUAUUGCACAAUGGGCGGAAGCCUGAGGCAGAAACGCCGCGUGCGGGAUGGCGGGCUUCGGGGUGUAAACCGCUGUCGCCUGUGACGAAGAGGGAGUGACGGUAAUGGGUAAAGAAGCACCGGCUAACUACGUG
rnacentral:rRNA from 1 species